rnacentral:rRNA from 1 species
CCCUACGGGGGGCAGCAGUAGGGAAUUUUCGGCAAUGGGCGAAAGCCUGACCGAGCAAUGCCGCGUGAGUGAAGAAGGCCUUCGGGUUGUAAAGCUCUGUUGUAAAGGAAGAACGGAUGGCAUAGGGAAUGAUGCCAUUGUGACGGUACUUUACAAGGAAGUCACGGCUAACUACGUGCCAGCAGCCGCGGUAAUACGUAGGUGGCGAGCGUUAUCCGGAAUUACUGGGUGUAAAGGGCGUGUAGGCGGGACUGCAAGUCCGAU